rnacentral:rRNA from 1 species
CGAACGGUAGAAAGGUGCUUGCACCUUUUGAGAGUGGCGGACGGGUGAGUAACACGUAGGUAAUCUACCUAGAAGUUGGGGAUAGCCUGUGGAAACACAGGGUAAUACCGAAUGAGACCAUGUAAAUGGUGAAAGAGGCUAAGGCCUCGCUUUUAGUUGAGCCUGCGACUCACUAGCUAGUUGGUGGGGUAACGGCCUACCAAGGCGACGAUGAGUAGCCGGCCUGAGAGGGCGACCGGUCACACUGGGACUGAGACACGGCCCAGACUCCUACGGGAGGCAGCAGCUAAGAAUCUUCCGCAAUGGUCGAAAGGCUGACGCAGCAACGCCGCGUGAGGGAUGACGGCCUUCGGGUUGUAAACCUCUGUUGAGUGGGAAGAAAAGCUUUGUGGUUAAUAUCCACAGAGUCUGACGGUACCACUCGAGGAAGCUCCGGCUAACUACGUGCCAGCAGCCGCGGUAAUACGUAGGGGGCUAGCGUUGUUCGGAAUCACUGGGCGUAAAGGGAGUGUAGGCGGACCGGUAAGUUAGGAGUUAAAUGUACGGGCUCAACCCGUGAUCUGCUUUUAAUACUGUCGGUCUUGAGUAUGGGAGAGGGAGAUGGAAUUCCAGGUGUAGCGGUGGAAUGCGUAGAUAUCUGGAAGAACACCAGUUGCGAAGGCGGUCUCCUGGACCAAUACUGACGCUGAUGCUCGAAAGCUGGGGGAGCGAACAGGAUUAGAUACCCUGGUAGUCCCAGCCGUAAAC